ensembl:lncRNA
GUAACUGACUGCCGCCGGGGCGAGCCGCGCUCUGCGGGCAGGGGGUGGGCACAGCGGCGGAGGGAGGGCGGGCGGAGGGAGGGCGCCGCCCGCCCGCCCGCCCGCGGGGAGGCUCGGGUCUCUGGCCGCGAUUGGGGGCCCGAGGCCGGGAGGCUGCACGGCGGGGCGGGGACCUGCGAGCCUCGGGGUCUCGGACCCACCCGGCGGCGAGUGUGCAAAUUAAAGUCUUCCGGAGCAAAGCAGCGAGGCCCUGUCCGGGCUGUGCUCCCCAGCGAUCGGCUCGGAACCGGGGGCCCGGAGGGCGGGGGAGAGUUAAAUGAAAAUUUCCGGUUCUCACUGCAACCACUCGAGGGCGGGGCGGCGGCGGGCGGGGGGGGGGGUCUCGCAAACUGAAAUAAGCUUUGUGAAAUGAACCGGGUGGGAUGCAUCGUCCGGAGUCGGCACGGUUUCCUACACCCAAGGUCCCCCAGAGUUGGGGUUUUGACAGGGUGAGGCAGGGGUGUCAGUCGGAUGAGAAAAAAACGCAAAACAACAGUAAUUAUGAGGGGACCGUGGGGUGGUAGACAGCAGCACUUUGCUACACGCAAAAAUCGGGAGAGGCUUGGCAGGACGCCGCACAGAAAAGAAAAUACUAAUCUGUCCAAGCGCUUUUCACUUUCUGCAUGAGCUACGUUUGUUUUGUUUUCUUUCACUUCCUUUCGGCCUCACAUAAAAAAAGAAAAGAAAAGAAAAGAAAAAGAGCCCUAUCUUUUCCUUUUGGACAGAAGCUAUGGUUUGGAAAUUGCCAGGCACUCUUGGUAACGAUCUACUUGAAGGGGCUGGCGGGGGUCACAAUUAUUAAGUGGUUAGAAACAGUUGAGGGUUCACUGAGGUAUUUCUGGGGAGCUAAGAAGAUUCAAUUUCAGUAUAAAUAACAACUGCAAAAUAAUAGGCACGCGCACACUUAAAGAGGAGUGCUUAAUUUAAAUGCCUUAUUGGGAUUUUGAAAUUUGAAACUUUGUAAGAAUGUCUCCUUUACCAGAGAAAAAUUGGAUGCAUUACUUCAGCUGCUUUUGGCUGAGCUAAAAGGUGUGUGCAGCUCUGAGAUAGUUUCUUCAGAGGCAGCAGUGAAGGUCCAACCUAGCAGGGGGAGAGUGGUGAAGUGGAGUCUGGGAAGCAGGAAGAGAAACAAAGAAGCCACCCAGGAAGAAACUUCUGUGAAUGGCUUGGCAGCAGGGGCAAAGGAAGGAGGCGCAUGCUGAGGUUGUGGGGCCAAGAGAUGGAGCCUUGGUGCCCUAGGUAUGGUGUAUCCAAGCAACCUGAUUCUUUCAAAGUGAAUGGAAUUCUGCGCCUCUUCUAUUCUGCAAUUAAAUCCGCCUUAUUAAAUAAGACUGCAUAGAGUGUGUAUCCAUAUUCAUGUGACUUAGUUUGUGUUGUCUUACUCUGGAUUUUUUCCUGAAGAUAAUAUAGAAUAGAAUUCGUUGCAAAAUUGUUGGAAUGUCAAGCGACAGUACACAAUAGCAGCUUGUGGUGCAAAGAUUUUAACACGGAUAUAAGAGGGUUUAAAAAAUUAGCCUUUAAUGAUUUGUUUGAAAUUAUAAAUCAAUCAACCAUCAUUAAUAAAAUGUGAUGAAUGGCAGUACCACAUCUAGAACCAAGGUAUGGAGGGUUAGAGAUCUCAGGUGAGCAUACAAAAACUUCAAAGGCAUCAUGAAGCAUAACUUUGGGGGCUGUCACAUAUCUGAAAACUAUUGAAUGCAUUCAUGGUAGCCAGUCUUCAGAGAGUCUUGAAGUGGUGAUAGGAAGGAGGUCAGACUGUCUUGUGAAUCUGAUAAGCUCAAAUCGAAAUGCCAGGGACUUAGAAGUGCUGAUCAGACGCCACUUUUAGAAUGUAGAGGAAGAAGCUGUGCCUCCCUGUUCCUGUUUUCUGCCCCAUCGGGCCAUGUGAUUGGUCUAAGGUCUUAGAUGAGCAAGGAAAUAAAUUUGUUCAAACUUACUCAUAGGUUUGUAGCAACGGUUCCCAGCCACAGUGGCUGGCAAGGAUUUUGUAUAUUUUGUCUAUGGAAAAAGUAACUUUAUUCUCUCUUCUCUGGGGGUGGCGUCUGUUUUUUUUUUUUUUUUUUGUAGGGGGGAGGAAUACACUAGAAGAAAAAUUUGAAUAUAAUCCAAUGGAGAUCUUUAAUAAAGUCUAAGGAGCAUGUUGUUGAUUUCAGGACCUCAGAAGCCCAUCUUCUCUGCUUCAAAUCUCUUUCCUUUUUAGCCCUCUUUCCUGAGUCUCGUUCUUCCAAAGCUCAGCUCUUCCUGAAACCCUUUGGCAUUCCCUCACUUGGAAGACACCCUUUCAACUCAACCCCUUGAAGCUGUUUGUUUUCUGUGCCACUAAAAACUUGUGUUUGGAGUCAUAGAGCAACCAUGCUCCUUGUCCUGACAAGCCUCUGCCUCCUGCUUUUGUCUUGGCCAUAGUAGGUGGCCAAUGACUGUAGCCACAGUUCCUGUGAGCUUGCUACCAAGUCAGGCAGGCAUUUGAAACAUCGGGAAACGACAUUGUAUGUUCUUACACAGAAAAGAACACGUAGUUUUGCAGGUAUUGGUCAUUAAAACAUUCUUGUCUGAAAGAUAAUGUUUCCAGAUAAAUGCCUCUCUUCCCUGUCCCUCAAAAUUGUAACCACAUUAAUUUUAUUUGAAAAAGCUAGUAUCAAACCCUAAGGUAAAACAGCUACUGUAUAGCUCAGCAUCCACAAAUCUUAUUUGCCAAUAAUACAACUGCAGACAAUCCAAAAAUGUGGAAUCCUUGACUUCUAAGUCAGCAGCUGUCUGUUGUUGGUGUUUUGUCCUCCUUCCUCAGUGAUAGUCACUGAACCCCAGGGACCAGUCAUUUCAUCUUUCUGACCCUCUGUGUCGUCUAACAGACAGUGGCUUUGCCAAUCAUUCAGGAAGAAAAAAAAUAAGACAGUUUGGAGAGAGGAAAUGAAGAAACAAAGACAUAGUUUGGAAGAGACGGUACAGAGGUGUGAUGGAGUUCUCUGAUCUGGAUAUCAGAAGACCUGAAAUUAAAUCUGGAAUUGACCACAAAUAGGUCUGAAGUUGGCCACACUUAUACCCUUGAGCCUUCAGAUCAUUGUUAAUAAAUCAUGGUAGACAGAAUGAUUUCUUUAGUUGAUGAAGCUUGAAAACACUGUUCCUCUCCAGCAUGGCACCAUCAUUCCACACCUGUUUUAAUAAAUUCUCUAAAGACUGGUAAUGCCAAAGGAUGAAGGUCUGAUGUCAACAAAGGAGAGAGGUGCCUGAAUUUCCAAUGCAAAUUAUGUUGUGUCCCCUUUAACUUCAUUGUCCAUAUCGCAGAGACAAAAUAGAAAUGAAGAUUUCUAGAAAAACACUGGGGCACUAGUGUUUUCAUUGGGGAUGUAGAAGGAAGAAACAACCUUUGAUUAUUUGUCUAAAAUUAAGUGUGGUAAAUGAAUCAACCAUCACAAUAAAAUAUGAUAAAUGGCAGUAGCAUGCCUAGAACCAGGGUAUGGAGGGUUGGAGAUCACAGGUGAGCACAGGCAUGUUCAAAGGCAUCAUGAAGCAUGACUCUGGGGGACAUGGGGUCUGUAGACUCUUAAAAGCAUCAGCGGCAGCUAGUCUUCAGAGCCUGUGAGGUGGUGGUGGGAACAGACAACGAGUGAGCUGUGAAUCUGACGGUAGGUCAUACAUGGUACCAGGAACUCCUAGAAGUGCUGAGCAAAAGCCACUUUUAAAGUGCGUAGAGGGAGAAACUGUGGCCAGGCUUUGGUGGCACACGCCUUUAAUCCCAGCACUCGGGAGGCAGAGGCUGGUGGAUCUCUGUGUGUUCGAGGCCAGCCUAGAGCGAGUUCUCCCCCUUGUUCGGGCCAUGUGCAUGCUCUAAGGUCUUUUGUAGAUGCACAAGAAGGGGAAACGUAGAACUUGAUAGCUGAUAUCAGUGGCUGGAAGUCUGGUUCCAUUGUGUGACUUUUCUGACCCCGGCAGUUUCCUUCACCUGUGAGGUAAACGUCCUGUAACCUGCCAUGUUAAGUUGGCAUAAGAAUUAGGGAAGUAUCUAUCGUGUGCAUAGUGCCUUUAUCAACCAGUUGAUAAGCAUUAGCAUACAACAGUAUCCCUGUCUCAAACUCUUUUGCUGUUCUUUUUUCUUCCUAGAGUCAGCUGAUCAUUUCAUGGGAAUUCUUUCUUAGCCAGGUUGGAUGGAGUGUCUGUCUAUUCUUUGCAAGAGGAGCACCCCAGAAACGGAACACACCCCAAAUCAGCUUGGGCCUUGACAAAGCCUCCAUUGUGUCCUGAGAGGAAUGGAGAAAAGAGAGUGAUGCUCACAUGGAGACUUUUAUUAUCUUGUCCAGAUUUUGCCCUGGUACUACCCCAUCUCCUCAAUCUGCCCUCUCUGCAUUUCUUACCGUCUACCUCUGAGUGGCUCCAAGCUUGCUUUUCUGAUGGCAUUGAGGCGGCCUGAGGACUACCUAUUCGGAUCUUUAUAUCUAGAUGUAUCCCAAAGAUUUCCCGACAUUGGUCCUAACAGCCCACAUUUUACUGCCUCCCUGAAAGGAGUCCUUACUCCUUCACAGUCACCAUGUGCUCUCCACGUCUCUUGCUUGAAGCUUGAAUGUUUUCCAGUUUAUCACUGAGUCAGUCUCUUUCUUAGCCUUUGUCCUGUCGUCUUGACCUAGUCUAAAACACUGAGUUUCCUAUUCCAUAUGCUCCCAAAAUGCUCCCGGGAGCCACUAUUGCCUCACAACACUCUUUUCUAUCCCUAACUGUGGGUUACUGGGUCCCUUUCCCACACAGUUCCUGAUCUUCUGUUCUCAAAUGUGAGGUGCUCUUACCCAUAAGAAUGUCAAAGAUGAUAGGCUCCUUGUGGGUGAGUUGAGGAAUCUGUAAUUUUUAUUAUUAAGUUGUAGCCCAGAAUCAGUGAACAAAAUGUUCCUUGCAUAGAAGAUUUAAUAACAUAGAUGCCUUCGGAUAGUUUCCUCCACCGAAGUGAGCUACUGUUCUGGGUCACACCUUUCUCUCUCGUCCUAGAUUCCAUGGUACGGCAGGGUAGCCAAAAGGCCCCGCUUUGUUGAUUCAGCCAUACUUCCCAUCCCUCCACUUCUGAGAUGAACUAUGCUGGCCUCUCUUGUCAGGAGCACAAAAGAAUGGUGAAGGAAAGUUCUUGAAGCUGACUCAGGCUGACUCACAUAACUUAACACUAGGUAGGAAGGAGCCAUGAAGUCCAGAGAGCAAAGCUUGAACUUGCCUACUAAGCCAAAGCCACAAAUGAUUGAAGAUUCGGGCCAGGGUGGUGCUUGG